GCCAGGUGUGGUGGUGCAUGCCUGUAAUCCCAGAGACUUGGGAGGCUGAGGCAGGAGGAUCACGAGUUCAAAGCCAGCCUUAGCAACGAUAAGGUGUUAAGCACCUCAGUGAGACCUUAUCUCUA
rnacentral:sRNA from 1 species